rnacentral:lncRNA from 1 species
CCAACCCCCAGAUUCUUCUGUGGUCUGCCUUUAGUGGGAGCAUUUACUGAUCUUGUACUCGGUAUUACUUCUCUUUUAACUAUUUCAGGACAAUCUCGAAUAAACUGGUCUAGUGCACCGCAUCUGAAACAAGCAUUUUCAUUUGCUUGGCACUCACCGAGAUGACAUCUACCACAUUGAGCACACUCUGGUCUAGGUGGUCAAGUACUACCCACACUUGCGACUGUAGUAGUCUGAGCUCUUGAACCCACAAAUCUUCUACCUCUGUUUUGGCUAGGAUACCCGGCUGAAAAAUUCGAUCUAAUAGAGAGCUCUCUAGGCCUCUUGGAUUUAGACUGAAAUGAUCUGCUCAUCUGUCUUUCCUUCAUGUCUUGAACCUCAAUUUCAGUUUUACCCUUUUAUUUUUCUUUUAACAACUCAUCUGCCUUACAGGCUCUUUCAACUAGGACAACAAACUUUUUUAUCUCUAAAACGCCAACUGACAGUCGGAUAUCAUCAUUGAGCCCAUCCUCAAAUCUUUCACACAUAAUAGCCUCUGCAGAUACAUACUCUCAAGCAUAUUUGUUGAGUUUGACAAAUUCACGUUCACACUCGGUUACAGUCAUC